GACGAACGCUGGCGGCGUGCUUAACACAUGCAAGUCGAGCGGUAAGGCCCUUUCGGGGGUACGACGAGCGGCGAACGGGUGAGUAACACGUGGGUGACCUGCCCUCAGCUCUGGGAUAAGCCUGGGAAACUGGGUCUAAUACCGGAUAUGACUCCAUGACGCAUGUUGUGGGGUGGAAAGCCUUGUGCGGCUGAGGAUGGGCCCGCGGCCUAUCAGCUUGUUGGUGGGGUGAGGCCUACCAAGGCGACGACGGGUAGCCGGCCUGGGAGGGCGACCGGCCACACUGGGACUGAGACACGGCCCAGACUCCUACGGGAGGCAGCAGUGGGGAAUCUUGCGCAAUGGGCGAAAGCCUGACGCAGCGACGCCGCGUGAGGGAUGACGGCCUGGUU
rnacentral:rRNA from 1 species